rnacentral:rRNA from 1 species
CGUAAUUUAAGCAUAUUAAUUAGGGGAGGAAAAGAAACCAACAGGGAUUCCCUUAGUAGUGGCGAACGAAACGGGAUCAGCCCAUCACGUAGGAUCAUAGGCUUGAUUGUCUAUCGAUCGAUUCCGUGUAAAGGAGGGUCCAUUAUCUUGCACAUAUAAACAUCAUAUUUAAGUCCAGCUUGAAUGCGGCUCAAUAUACCCACAGAGGGUGCCAGGCCCGUAUAUGUAUGAUGCUUGUGUAAGUGGGCUAUCAACUCCUAGGAGUCAUGUUGCUUGAUAGUGCAGCAUUAAGUGGGAGGUAAACUCCUUCUAAGGCUAAAUAUUACCAUGAGACCGAUAGCGAACAAGUACCGUGAGGGAAAGUUGAAAAGAACUCUGAAUAGAGAG